rnacentral:rRNA from 1 species
GAUGAACGCUGGCGGCGUGCCUAAUACAUGCAAGUCGAGCGAACAGAUGAGGAGCUUGCUCCUCUGACGUUAGCGGCGGACGGGUGAGUAACACGUGGAUAACCUACCUAUAAGACUGGGAUAACUUCGGGAAACCGGAGCUAAUACCGGAUAAUAUAUUGAACCGCAUGGUUCAAUAGUGAAAGACGGUUUUGCUGUCACUUAUAGAUGGAUCCGCGCCGCAUGAGCUAGUUGGUAAGGUAACGGCUUACCAAGGCAACGAUGCGUAGCCGACCUGAGAGGGUGAUCGGCCACACUGGAACUGAGACACGGUCCAGACUCCUACGGGAGGCAGCAGUAGGGAAUCUUCCGCAAUGGGCGAAAGCCUGACGGAGCAACGCCGCGUGAGUGAUGAAGGUCUUCGGAUCGUAAAACUCUGUUAUUAGGGAAGAACAAAUGUGUAAGUAACUAUGCACGUCUUGACGGUACCUAAUCAGAAAGCCACGGCUAACUACGUG